rnacentral:lncRNA from 1 species
UACAACUUGCGCACCAUGCAUGGUGACCCUAGGCCCACACAUUGUAUAGAAGAAACACAUGAUUUGCCUAGAUGAACUUUGGAAAUGAAGGCUGAUUCCAAAACAGAAGCAAACUCUUCUUUAUCCAGCUUUCAUCAGUUAGGAGGAUUGCCUUACUCUCAGAGUAGUCUUCUUGAAGCUCUCUCUUGCCCUCAUGAGAAGACACUAAGGAUCAUGUGAAAGAGCUCCCUGAGGACAGAUUAAGAGGAGAUGAGUUAAAGCUGCAAAUACCAAGAUUUAAGAUGAAAUUAAGAAUGCUGAUCAGCUAAAGGACCUUCACAUACAAAGGUUAUCCUGGAUUAUUCAGGUGGGCUCAACGUAAUCACAAGGAUCCUUUAAAGUGGAAGAAUGAGGUCAGAGUGAUGUGAUGUGAAAAGCACUCAAUUUGCCUUUGCUAGUUUUGAAGAUGGAAGAAUGGGGCCAUGGUCCAAGGCAUGCUGGUGACCUCUAGAAGCUGAAAAAGUUAAGAAAAUGGAAAAGAAACUUCAGCGCAGUGAGGCCCAAUUUGGACUUCUGACUCCAGAACUGCAAGAUAAUACAUUUGUAUCCAUUAAGCCACUAAGUUUGUGCUAAUUUGCUAUGGCAGCAACAGGAGACUAAUACACCUUGGCAGGUAGAGGUAGUCCUCCUCUGGGGCAAACAUAUAAGCAUGCUUACUAUACAAUAUAAUAAGGAUGAUGUCUCUUUCCAGGACAUAGGCAGGCAUGCUUAUUUCCUGUUAUAAAAUAUUCAGGUUUUCUAAGUUCAGUUUUUUGUUUUUUUGUUUUUUUUUUGCUGGAACACAAUUGACUGUGGAUGCUGGUAUUAUCUAGCCCUAUUUGCAUCACCUUGCGGGUACUGGGGUUUGGAGGAAUUGGCUCAGAUGCUGAUACCGUGGCUACUACUAUUGUGUCAGAAACGUGACUGAAACAUUUCUUCCUCUUAAGAGGCAUUAAGAGAAAAGGAUAGAUUUCCUGUUUCUUUUGCAAUUUUCCUCUUUAAGAAACAGAAAGAAAAAAAGAUCUUAUGUCCAUGCUCCUGGAAGUCACCAAUAAAUAAUACGGGCCAGGGCUUUUUCUUUUCAGCAGUGGGCUGAUUAAAUCCUUAUACUUGUUCUGGGUUAUAUGUCUGAAAUUUGUGUUCCUUUUGUUCUGAGGAGUACAAAAUAAUCAAUUCCUCUAAUGGAGAUUACCAGCUUGAUUAAUAGAUAAUCCUAAUGUGUUCUUUGUAAAAUACAUUAUAAAUGAUCUUUAAAGUUGAAGGAAAGAAGAUUGGGCCAUGUAGAAAUUUGGUUCUCAACAGAACCUCUUCUUGAUUGAAGAAAUAUAAGCAAAGAGUUUUAUAUAUUUCGGUAAGGGUAGGUAGUCUAUGCAUUUUCUGUUCUGAGUAUUACAAAAGGAAAAGGGAAUAAAAGCUUCUGCAUAUAGCAGAGAUAAACUCCAAAAGCAGGAGACCAGUGAAGCCCUGGAUCACUGCACUCCUCCAGCCUUCAAGGAGCAUGAAGAGGGUCCACAUAACAACAGAAGAUGCUUCAGAACAAAUUAUGAGUCCAUAAGAGAUAAAUUAGUGUCUUUAUUCAUUGCAAAGGAAUGGUUAUUAUAAAAAAAUCCCUGAUGCUGUCUCUCAGACUGAACUUACGUAUAGGCAGGAGAACACAUGUAAUUUAUUGACUGAUAAAACUGUA